UACGGAGGGUGCAACCGUUGCUCGGAAUCAUUGGGCGUAAAGCGCACGUAGGCGGUUCGGUAAGUCGGAUGUGAAAGCCCUGGGCUCAACCUGGGAACUGCAUUCCAAACUGCCGAGCUAGAGUGUGGUAGAGGGAGGUAGAAUUUCCUGUGUAGCGGUGAAAUGCGUAGAUAUAGGAAGGAAUACCAGUGGCGAAGGCGGCCUCCUGGAUCAACACUGACGCUGAGGUGCGAAAGCGUGGGGAGCAAACAGG
rnacentral:rRNA from 1 species